AGGAGGGUUCCUUUAUAGGUAAGAAGGGCUAAACUGUAAAUUUAGUACAUGAAUUGUUUUGAGAGUUCGAAUCUCUCGUCUCCUA
rfam:Metarhizium album ARSEF 1941 scaffold_18, whole genome shotgun sequence.